AACGAACGCUGGCGGCAUGCCUAAUACAUGCAAGUCGAACGAGCCCUUCGGGUCUAGUGGCCCACGGCUGCGUCACGCGUCGGAACCUGACCUCAGGUUUGGCCUACCUAUCCGACUGGGGUACUAAUACCGGAUAAUGUCUUAUGCCCAAUGAUUUAUCGCCUUUGGUUGGGCAGGCGUUGGAUUAGCUAGUUCUUAGGGUUAAAGCCUACCAAGGCGCCAAUUCAUAGCUUGUCAGAGAGGAUGCUCAGCCACACUGGGACUGAGACACGGCCCAGACUCCUACGGGAGGCAGGAGUGGGGAAUAGUGGAAAAUGGGCUGAAGGCUGAUCCAGCAAUGCCGCUUGAGUGAUGAAGGCAUGAAGGAUGUAAAGCGCAUGUACCUGGGAUGAUAAUGACAGUACCGGGAGAAUAAGCUACGGCUAACUCCGUG
rnacentral:rRNA from 1 species